rnacentral:rRNA from 1 species
CCUGGCUCAGGAUGACGCUGGCGGCGUGCCUAACACAUGCAAGUCGAACGGAGUUAGCGCUGAUGAAGCUCGGCAGAAUCUUGUAAACUUAGUGGCGGACGGGUGAGUAACGCGUGGGUAACCUGCCUCAUACAGGGGGAUAGCAGUUGGAAACGACUGAUAACACCGCAUAAGCGCACGGUAUCGCAUGAUACAGGGUGAAAAUAUUUAUAGGUAUGAGAUGGACCCGCGUCUGAUUAGCUAGUUGGUGAGGUAACGGCCCACCAAGGCGACGAUCAGUAGCCGGCCUGAGAGGGCGGACGGCCACAUUGGGACUGAGACACGGCCCAAACUCCUACGGGAGGCAGCAGUGGGGGAUAUUGCACAAUGGGCGAAAGCCUGAUGCAGCGACGCCCGCGUGAGUGAAGAAGUAUUUCGGUAUGUAAAGCUCUAUCAGCAGGGAAGAAAGACCUCGUAAGAGGGGAUGACGGUACCUGAGUAAGAAGCCCCGGCUAACUACGUGCCAGCCGCCGC